rnacentral:rRNA from 1 species
CCCUUAGAUGUUCUGGGCCGCACGCGCGCUACACUGAUGAAUGCAACGAGCUCUACCCUUGACCGAAAGGCCCGGGUAAACUUGUGAAACUUCAUCGUGAUGGGGAUAGAUUAUUGCAAUUAUUAAUCUUCAACGAGGAAUGCCUAGUAAGCGCAAGUCAUCAGCUUGCGUUGAUUACGUCCCUGCCCUUUGUACACACCGCCCGUCGCUCCUACCGAUUGAAUGGUCCGGUGGAGCGUUUGGACUAUGGUUUUCUGACGGUUCGCCAUUGGAUUACCGUGGGAAAUUCGUUAAACCUUAUCAUUUAGAGGAAGGAGAAGUCGUAACA